UACAGGGGGUGCAAACGUUGCUCGGAAUCAUUGGGCGUAAAGCGCACGUAGGCGGUUCGUUAUGUCGGAUGUGAAAGCCCUUGGCUUAACCGAGGAAGUGCAUCCGAAACUGGCGAGCUAGAGUACGAAAGAGGAUCGCGGAAUUCCCGGUGUAGAGGUGAAAUUCGUAGAUAUCGGGAGGAACACCAGUGGCGAAGGCGGCUAUCUGGGCUGGCACUGACGCUGAGGCGCGAAGGCUAGGGGAGCAAACAGG
rnacentral:rRNA from 1 species